UGGCGACCGGCGCACGGGUGAGUAACGCGUAUGCAACUUGCCUAUCAGAGGGGGAUAACCCGGCGAAAGUCGGACUAAUACCGCAUGAAGCAGGGAUCCCGCAUGGGAAUAUUUGCUAAAGAUUCAUCGCUGAUAGAUAGGCAUGCGUUCCAUUAGGCAGUUGGCGGGGUAACGGCCCACCAAACCGACGAUGGAUAGGGGUUCUGAGAGGAAGGUCCCCCACAUUGGUACUGAGACACGGACCAAACUCCUACGGGAGGCAGCAGUGAGGAAUAUUGGUCAAUGGCCGAGAGGCUGAACCAGCCAAGUCGCGUGAGGGAUGAAGGUUCUAUGGAUCGUAAACCUCUUUUAUAAGGGAAUAAAGUGCGGGACGUGUCCCGUUUUGUAUGUACCUUAUGAAUAAGGAUCGGCUAACUCCGUGCCAGCAGCCGCGGUAAUACGGAGGAUCCGAGCGUUAUCCGGAUUUAUUGGGUUUAAAGGGUGCGUAGGCGGCCUUUUAAGUCAGCGGUGAAGGUCUGUGGCUCAACCAUAGAAUUGCCGUUGAAACUGGGGGGCUUGAGUAUGUUUGAGGCAGGCGGAAUGCGUGGUGUAGCGGUGAAAUGCAUAGAUAUCACGCAGA
rnacentral:rRNA from 1 species